GGCACUUUGGCGGAGUGGUUAACGCGCUGCCCUGCUAUACCCCAAGCAUACCAAGGCAGUUCCUUCGGGAGCGCAGGUUCGAAUCCUGCAGGUGUCG